GACGAACCGAGCGAACGUUAUUCGGAAUCACUGGGCUUAAAGGGCGCGUAGGCGGGCCCGCAAGUCAGGGGUGAAAGCCCACGGCUCAACCGUGGAAGUGCCUCUGAUACUUCGGGCCUCGAGGGAGGUAGGGGCGUGCGGAACUUCCGGUGGAGCGGUGAAAUGCGUAGAUAUCGGAAGGAACGUCGGUGGCGAAAGCGGCGCGCUGGACCUCUUCUGACGCUGAGGCGCGAAAGCCAGGGGAGCGAACGGG
rnacentral:rRNA from 1 species